CACGUAUAGAAAUCCAGCACUGGAGAGUUGAUGAGAAAGUGGGCAGAUCGGCUCUAUUCACAGCUGGGGGAAACUGACCACUUUAACAAAAGGAAGAAUGCUCAGGUAACAUCUAGCCCAAAGGUCGCUCAGGGAUGUUCAAAGCACACAGGAGAGAGUGAAGUAUCCCAUCUUUGGGACACACAAGUCCCACUCAGCAUCCAUUGAAAGCAAAGCACCAAAAGCAUUGAGAUGGUGGCAGGACCUCAUUUUCCCUCUUCUCUAUUCCCUUACUCUUUCUCCAGCACAGAAGAAGCCUUGCUGAACACCUCCCGAGCGGAUGGCAUCAGAGAGAAGCUGGAUGUUUUUCCUCAAAUGGAUUAAGAAAGCAGAAGCUUCUGCCAGGGGUAACAAUGCCACUUGUGGGCACCACUGAUUUUUAAAGCACUCCACAUUCAUUAGCUCAUGGAGCCUUCGCAGCAUCCCUGGAAGGCAAGACAUUGGAAGAGCCUCCAAGACAAUGUUGAAAAGUUGGCCCUGCCGUCAGCUUCAGCAGGGCAGUCCUGCAUAGCUGCCACUUCUACCGAGGACCACCCUGUCCAGGUUCCACGCAAGCUCAUGGUGGCUGCUCCAGCCCAGCAGAGCCACUUCCUGGGAGUCACCACCCACUUGCAUCUUACUGUGGCUCUUCUUCUGUGUCCCCCAGUCAUCUGCCUACACAGAGAGAGCACAGCCACUGAAGCCUGAGACUCACGAAAGACGCCUGUGCUUUGAGGGGCUGCUUCCCAGGCAAACUUCGUUGCAGAAUUCUGAUGUCCCUGUCUGCUUCCCACUCAGGGAGUUAAUGGGACUCCACAACAGGACUCCCAGAAGUUCUCCCUGCCUGCAUGUGAUGAAGAGUGCUGAGUGAUAGAUUUGAAAUUGGACCCCUGACAUCAUGAAUAGCAGAAGUUAAUAUCUAAUGCAGCUAAAAUGCUGCACAGCUUCCUGGAACCCUUAGCACUAAAGACCACCAUGCACUGAGGAGCCACCUGCAGCUCUCCACACCAUGAAGUGCAUAUGUACCCCUCCUCUCCGCAUCUCGCAUGACCCAGCCCAUGGUGUUAAACUG